ensembl:snRNA U6 U6 spliceosomal RNA
AUAUUAAGUAUAGAGAACACAUACACUGACAUGGGGACAAUUCAUAGAAAAUUAGCAUGGCCCCUGUGCAAGGGUGGCAUACAGAUUUAUGACCCACUCCAUAUCUAA